AACGAACGCUGGCGGCAUGCCUAACACAUGCAAGUCGAACGAGCCCUUCGGGUCUAGUGGCGCACGGGUGCGUAACGCGUGGGAACCUGCCCUUAGGUUCGGAAUAACUCCCCGAAAGGGGUGCUAAUACCGGAUAAUGUCUUCGGACCAAAGAUUUAUCGCCUUUGGAUGGGCCCGCGUUGGAUUAGCUAGUUGGUAGGGUAAAAGCCUACCAAGGCGACGAUCCAUAGCUGGUCUGAGAGGAUGAUCAGCCACACUGGGACUGAGAAACGGCCCAGACUCCUACGGGAGGCAGCAGUGGGGAAUAUUGGACAAUGGGCGAAAGCCUGAUCCAGCAAUGCCGCGUGAGUGAUGAAGGCCUUAGGGUUGUAAAGCUCUUUUACCCGGGAUGAUAAUGACAGUACCGGGAGAAUAAGCUCCGGCUAACUCCGUG
rnacentral:rRNA from 1 species